GAGCACGUAGGUGGGUUUGUAAGUCAGAUGUGAAAGCCUUCUGUUCAACGGAAGAAUUGCAUCUGAAACUGCGAGUCUUGAGUGUAGGAGGGGAGAAUGGAACUUCUGGUGGAGCAGUGAAAUGCGUAGAUAUCAGAAGGAACGCCGGCGGCGAAAGCGAUUCUCUGGCCUAUUACUGACACUCAGUGUGCGAAAGCUAGGGGAGCAAACGGGAUUAGAUACCCCGGUAGUCCUAGCCGUAAACGAUGGGCACUAAGUAGAGGGGUUUU
rnacentral:rRNA from 1 species